UCAUGAUAACUGAAAUCCCAAUCGAGUUUCCAUGAGACAAAUUAAUGCUUCAUUGCUUUAGGUUUUCAAUAAAGCCAAAAAUGGGUCGUCACACAAGAAUUGAAAUUAUGGCUCUUUUCUUAUUUAUGACUCUUCUCAUUUCCUCACAAGUUGAAGGCUCUCGAGAGCUCAAUCAAGUUCUAUAUAACGAUGGUGGGAAGAUGAUGCGAAGUUAUGCACGUUUUAAUUGUCCUAGUGGAUGUUGUGGUGAAAGCGGAAAAGGCGGAGGCGGAGGCAAAGGCAAAGGUGGAGGCAGAGUCACAAAAGGUGGAGGCGGAGGCGGAGCCAGAGGCGGCUGCAUUUGCUGCCCUUAAUGUUUGAUUUCAAAAACAAAUGUUUUAUUUCAUGUAGUUUAAGGUGUGCAAAAGGAUAAAAAUAAAGGAAAAUAAAGUCCGUGUAUGUUUGAAUAUUUGAAUUAUUCAAAAGUUUCUUAUUAUUA